rnacentral:tRNA from 1 species
AGUCUUGUAUUUUAAUAAAAAUAUUAGAUUGCAAAUCUAAAGUUGAUAAUAUCUAAGGCUU